UUCUGUUACGUUAUUUGAAUUGAUACGAAAACUAUUUAAGAAAUUAUGUUCUAAAAUUCUAAAUAACCUGUUUAUACUAUACUUUCCAUAACAUACAAAAAUUUGCUCAAAUACUAAGAAAUUCUCUCUUAGUAACUAUGUCCAGCCAUACUUAGGCUAUGAAUGAUAACCAAAACUGCAUCUAAAACCGUACCGCAACAGUGCUGUAACAGUAUCAAAAUCUCUACAUAUACAUAUGUAUUUAUGUAUUUUCAUUACUAUUUGAACCGCACCGCACUUCUCCCGUACCGCAAAACGCAGUCACCAUUCGGAGCCUUAAUAUUUAAUCGGCUUUCAUGCUCAAACGUUAUGACGUAAAAUUUU
rnacentral:sRNA from 1 species